GCCAUCAUGGUGCAGUAGUUUGAGCAUUUGACUAUGGCUCUGGAGAUCAGGGUUCAAAUCCCUGCUUAGUCA